GACGUAGGUGGCGAACGUUAUCCGGAAUUAUUGGGCGUAAAGGGUGCGUAGAUGGUCUGACAAGUUAUUAGUGGGAAAUCGAGGCUCAACCUCGUGGAAGCUAGUAAUACUGUCAGGCUCGAGUGCAGGAGAGGUUAACGGAACUCCCGGUGGAGCGGUAAAAUGCAUAGAUAUCGGGAAUAACACCAAUAACGGCGAAGGCAGUUAACUAUUCUGUUACUGACAUUGAGGCACGAAAGCGUGGGGAGCAAAACGG
rnacentral:rRNA from 1 species